GAUGAAAGAACGCAGCGAAAUGCGAUAAGUAAUGUGAAUUGCAGAAUUCAGUGAAUCAUCGAAUCUUUGAACGCACAUUGCGCCCGCUAGUAUUCUGGCGGGCAUGCCUGUCCGAGCGUCAUUUCAACCCUCAAGCCCCCGGGCUUGGUGUUGGGGAUCGGCGAGCCUCCGCGCCCGCCGUCCCCUAAAUCUAGUGGCGGUCUCGCUGUAGCUUCCUCUGCGUAGUAGCACACCUCGCACUGGGAAACAGCGCGGCCACGCCGUUAAACCCCCAACUUCUGAACGUUUGACCUCGGAUCAGGUAGGAAUACCCGCUGAACUUAAGCAUAUCAAUAAGCGGAGGA
rnacentral:misc_RNA from 1 species